rnacentral:rRNA from 1 species
UGCAAGUCGAACGGAGGACCCUUGACGGAGUUUUCGGACAACUGAUAGGAAUCCUUAGUGGCGGACGGGUGAGUAACGCGUGAGGAACCUGCCUUGGAGUGGGGAAUAACAGUUGGAAACAACUGCUAAUACCGCAUGAUGCAUUUGGGCUGCAUGGUCUAAAUGCCAAAGAUUUAUCGCUCUGAGAUGGCCUCGCGUCUGAUUAGCUAGUUGGUGGGGUAAUGGCCCACCAAGGCGACGAUCAGUAGCCGGACUGAGAGGUUGGCCGGCCACAUUGGGACUGAGACACGGCCCAGACUCCUACGGGAGGCAGCAGUGGGGAAUAUUGGGCAAUGGGCGCAAGCCUGACCCAGCAACGCCGCGUGAAGGAAGAAGGCCCUCGGGUUGUAAACU